rnacentral:rRNA from 1 species
UCGAGAAGUGAUAUAGGUAUAAAACAUGCACCUGAUCCCAUCAGAACGUCGAAAUUAAGCGUCCUUGGGCGAGAGUAGUACGAGAAUGGGUGAUUUCGUAAGAAGUCCUAAUUUUUAGAU